rnacentral:tRNA from 1 species
GGGGUUGUGGCUCAGAGGAAGAGUGCUCGCCUAGCAUGCGUGAGGCACUGGGUUCGAUCCUCAGCACUACA